AUUCCUUGUCGGGUAAGUUCCGACCUGCACGAAUGGUGUAACCAUGGCCACGCUGUCUCCACCCGAGACUCAGUGAAAUUGAAAUCGCAGUGAAGAUGCUGUGUACCCGCACCUAGACGGAAAGACCCCGUGAACCUUUACUACAGCUUGGCACUGAACAUUGAACCUACAUGUGUAGGAUAGGUGGGAGGCUUUGAAGCACAGUCGCUAGAUUGUGUGGAGCCGUCCUUGAAAUACCACCCUUGUAUGUUUGAUGUUCUAACAUUGGUCCCUUAUCGGGAUUGUGGACAGUGUCUGGUGGGUAGUUUGACUGGGGCGGUCUCCUCCCAAAUAGUAACGGAGGAGCACGAAGGUUAGCUAAUCACGGUCGGACAUCGUGAGGUUAGUGCAAUGGCAUAAGCUAGCUUAACUGCGAGACAGACACGUCGAGCAGGUACGAAAGUAGGUCAUAGUGAUCCGGUGGUUCUGUAUGGAAGGGCCAUCGCUCAACGGAUAAAAGGUACUCCGGGGAUAACAGGCUGAUACCGCCCAAGAGUUCAUAUCGACGGCGGUGUUUGGCACCUCGAUGUCGGCUCAUCACAUCCUGGGGCUGAAGUCGGUCCCAAGGGUAUGGCUGUUCGCCAUUUAAAGUGGUACGCGAGCUGGGUUUAGAACGUCGUGAGACAGUUCGGUCCCUAUCUGCCGUGGGUGUAGGAUACUUGAGAGGAGUUGCCCCUAGUACGAGAGGACCGGGGUGAACGAUCCACUGGUGGACCUGUUAUCGUGCCAACGGUAGUGCAGGGUAGCUAUGAUCGGAAAGGAUAACCGCUGAAGGCAUCUAAGCGGGAAGCCCCCCUCAAAACAAGGUAUCCCUGAGGGCCGUGGAAGACCACCACGUCAAUAGGCCGGAGAUGUAAGUGCAGCAAUGCAUUCAGUUGACCGGUACUAAUCGCCC
rnacentral:rRNA from 1 species